UGGGGAAUAUUGGACAAUGGGGGGAACCCUGAUCCAGCCAUGCCGCGUGUGUGAAGAAGGCCUUAUGGUUGUAAAGCACUUUAAGCGAGGAGGAGGGUACUGGUAUUAAUACUACCAGCUACUGGACGUUACUCGCAGAAUAAGCACCGGCUAACUCUGUGCCAGCAGCCGCGGUAAUACAGAGGGUGCGAGCGUUAAUCGGAUUUACUGGGCGUAAAGCGUGCGUAGGCGGCUAAUUGAGUCGGAUGUGAAAUCCCCGAGCUUAACUUGGGAAUUGCAUUCGAUACUGGUUAGCUAGAGUGUGGGAGAGGAUGGUAGAAUUCCAGGUGUAGCGGUGAAAUGCGUAGAGAUCUGGAGGAAUACCGAUGGCGAAGGCAGCCAACUGGCGUAACACUGACGCUGAGGUACGAAAGCAUGGGGAGCAAACAGG
rnacentral:rRNA from 1 species